AACGAACGCUGGCGGCAUGCCUAACACAUGCAAGUCGAACGAGACCUUCGGGUCUAGUGGCGCACGGGUGCGUAACGCGUGGGAACCUGCCCUUAGGUUCGGAAUAACUCCCCGAAAGGGGUGCUAAUACCGGAUAAUGUCUUCGGACCAAAGAUUUAUCGCCUUUGGAUGGGCCCGCGUUGGAUUAGCUAGUUGGUAGGGUAAAAGCCUACCAAGGCGACGAUCCAUAGCUGGUCUGAGAGGAUGAUCAGCCACACUGGGACUGAGACACGGCCCAGACUCCUACGGGAGGCAGCAGUGGGGAAUAUUGGACAGGGGGCGAAAGCCUGAUCCAGCAAUGCCGCGAGAGUGAUGAAGGCCUUAGGGUUGUAAAGCUCUUUUACCCGGGAUGAUAAUGACAGUACCGGGAGAAUAAGCUCCGGCUAACUCCGU
rnacentral:rRNA from 1 species